rnacentral:lncRNA from 1 species
AGCUGACGUCCUUGUCAUGCGCUAAGAGUCGGCGUCUGAGCAGAUGUGCCCUGGAGUGAAAGCCCUGGCGGGAGAAGCUCUGCCGGCUCCAGCGUGGCUGCCGCUGGCUGACAGCUGGGAGCAGCUCCCGCACCUCAGGCCAGCACGGCAGGCUUGGGGAGCCCUGGGCUCCAGGCAGGGGCCUCCAAAUGGACAGCAGGCUGUCCUCACGGGGAAACGUGCAGUAUUCACUAAAGGACCACGUGUCCCCGACACCCUUCAUCCUGCUGCAGGGAUUGACGUGCGCUCUCCCCAGCCAGGCUCCUCCCAGCGGAGGGAAGAGCCGCUCCUUCCAGCUCAGCACACCUCCAGACGGUUUUUGCUUCCCUCCCUUUUUGGCACUCCAGCGCAACGUAUCCUCUUAACGCUUGGUUUACGUGCUCUUUCUCUGAUAUGAAGCUGCACAAUAAAUCCUUCUC